AAAUAAUUAAAUCUAAGUAAAGAAAAUAUGAAAUUAUGUUCGUUAUAUUCGACAGAACUCCAGUGCAAAAAAUUUAAUUCACUUGAGCUGUUCGGGUUAGAUCGAAAAUUGUAAAUUCUAAUUAUAAGAACUAGAAAAUCUUUUAUACAAGGCAGGACUAAGGGUAAUUUCAGUAUAUAUGUACCUACAUAAGUACAAUAUAUGCUUGGUUGAAAAUAUCACAUGAUGGAGCCCGCUGAUGGUAAGGUACGUGAGUGAUAUUGAGCACAUUUGGAUCUCCAUAAACGCGCAAAAAUAUCAUAUGAAGGUAUAUUUUUGUGUUAUGACGAGCAAAACAGCCCAACAACGAAGUUGUUAACACCGGCGGAGGCAACGUCAUUAACAACAAAAAGCGGAUGUUCGUGUACAGUGCGAUUAAAAUUGUGGAACUUUGUGCACAUGUUAUAUUGGGAAGUGACGUAGUGGGCUUUACCGGCAACUCGAAUGGCAGAGCAAGGUGGCAGCAUGUACAGAGUAUACACUUUCGUGACGAUUCUUGAAAAAAUGGAACAACCUAGUAAGGCCAAGCCCUGAAAAAAGACCGGAAUGACCCAGAUUUAUAUGGGAGGUUCAUGCUACUACAAAAACAACAACAGCAGGGCAGGAGAAUAAUGAUGUUAAUUUGAGAGAAUAGCAAUCAGAUCCAAUUAUUGAAGCAGUGUUCCUAUUUUAAUACGAGUAUGAACUAUUUUCAUGUAAAACUACUUACUCUAAGAUUUAUGGUUUGUUAAUAUGUACAAGUAUGUUGUGUACAA